GGAGAGGGAUGGGCUCGCGGCCUAUCAGCUAGUUGGUGAGGUAAUGGCUCACCAAGGCAACGACGGGUAGCCGGCCUGAGAGGGUGACCGGCCACACUGGGACUGAGACACGGCCCAGACUCCUACGGGAGGCAGCAGUGGGGAAUAUUGGACAAUGGGCGAAAGCCUGAUCCAGCAACGCCGCGUGAGGGAUGACGGCCUUCGGGUUGUAAACCUCUUUCAGUAGGGACGAAGCGAAAGUGACGGUACCUACAGAAGAAGGACCGGCCAACUACGUGCCAGCAGCCGCGGUAAUACGUAGGGUCCGAGCGUUGUCCGGAAUUAUUGGGCGUAAAGGGCUCGUAGGCGGUUUGUCGCGUCGGGAGUGAAAACUCAGGGCUCAACCCUGAGCGUGCUUCCGAUACGGGCAAACUAGAGGUAUGCAGGGGAGAAUGGAAUUCCUGGUGUAGCGGUGGAAUGCGCAGAUAUCAGGAGGAACACCGGUGGCGAAGGCGGUUCUCUGGGCAUUACCUGACGCUGAGGAGCGAAAGCAUGGGGAGCGAACAGGAUUAGAUACCCUGGUAGUCCAUGCCGUAAACGUUGGGCGCUAGGUGUGGGGACCUUCCACGGUCUCCGUGCCGCAGCUAACGC
rnacentral:rRNA from 1 species